UACCAACCUUGACAAAAAAAACCUUAAUGAGCAGAAUGUAUGUUGAGGAUUAACAUCAGAUGAGUAUUUAUGGUAAUGAGUCUAGAAUAUUCAAAGCUUAGAUUUUGUCCAACUUUUAACACAAGCAACUUUUAAUCUUCGUUAUAAUUCCAUUAAAUUUUGCCAUUCUUGGCUGCAGAUUUAACUGUUUUUGUACUUUGGAAUCUUCCAAAUCGUUUGUAUGUUCUAAAGUUAUUCGAAAUUUAUCACAACCGUUUUAAAUAAUCAAACAAAGAAAAAUCCCUCAAUAGAAGUACCUACACGUGAUCUUGGAGAGGUGGGAGAAAUAUCUUCUAAACAAGAGCUCCACACUGAGUUGAGUGUGCUUAAAACUUGCCCAGCUUUCAAUCAACACACUUUAUUACUAACAAAUAAAUAUUCGCUCUGAAAUGAACAAAGUUUUGCGUGAAUCGUGAUUAAAAGAAGUGAUUUGUGCAGUUUUUUUUUUGAGUUAUUUUUUGAAUAACAUUAAUAAAGGAUGAAGUGGCCGAAGAACAUAACUUGGGAGAAACAACAACAAGAAGCGUUGCGACACGAACAAAAUUUGCAACAAUUUGAUUCGACCGAUCAAAAUAACAACAUCACAAUGACUUCUGAGGAUCUCCUCCAACCGGGGCACGUCGUCAAAGAACGUUGGAAGGUUGUGAAAAAAAUUGGUGGAGGCGGUUUUGGGGAAAUCUAUGAAGGGCUAGAUUUGAUAACCAGGGAGCAGGUUGCUUUGAAGGUUGAGUCGGCGAGACAACCUAAGCAAGUCCUCAAAAUGGAAGUGGCGGUGCUAAAAAAGCUCCAAGGGAAGGAGCACGUAUGCCGGUUCAUUGGAUGUGGGCGAAACGACCGCUUCAAUUACGUCGUGAUGCAAUUACAAGGGAGGAAUCUUGCUGAAUUGAGGAGGGCCCAACCCAGGGCUGCUUUUAGUUUAUCCACUACAUUGAGAUUAGGACUACAAAUACUUAAAGCUAUUGAAAGUAUACAUUCUGUGGGGUUUUUACAUAGAGAUAUCAAACCGUGAUUUUUGUGAUGAUUGUACCACUUUGGAUUUAAUCUUUGUUAUGUUAUGAAGAUUCAAAUGCUUCAAAAUCUUGGUAGCCAGGGAAUGAUUUAAUAAAAAUGGAAAAUUUGAGUUUUUUUAUUAAGAAAUAAAUUUGUUGAGUUGACAAAAAGUCCUCCUAAGUUUAUAUCUAUCACCAAUAAAUUCCAAAAUCGCUUUUGGAAA